rnacentral:tRNA from 1 species
GAUCCCAUGGCGUAAAUGGUAGCGCGUCUGACUCCAGAUCAGAAGGCUGGGCGUUCGAGUCGCUCUGGGGUCA